rnacentral:miRNA from 1 species
UAAGGUCAAUCCCUGGCACCCUGUAUGCCACACCCCCACCCACUCCCAAGCACAGCCAGAGUGGUUCCUGAGUGCAGAGCCAGGAAUAAGCCC